GAUGAAGAACGUAGCGAAAUGCGAAAAGUAAUGUGAAUUGCAGAAUUCAGUGAAUCAUCGAAUCUUUGACCGCACAUUGCGCCCGCCAGUAUUCUGGCGGGCAUGCCUGUUCGAGCGUCAUUUCAACCAUCAAGCCCCAGGCUUGUGUUGGGGACCUGCGGCUGCCGCAGGCCCUGAAAACCAGUGGCGGGCUCGCUGUCACACCGGGCGUAGUAGAUUUUAUCUCGCUCAGGGCGUGCUGCGGGUUCCGGCCGUUAAAAAGCCUUUUUUACCCAAGGUUGACCUCGGAUCAGGUAGGAAGACCCGCUGAACUUAAGCAUAUCAAUAAGCGGAGGA
rnacentral:misc_RNA from 1 species